rnacentral:rRNA from 1 species
UGCCAGCAGCCGCGGUAAGACGGAGGGCGCAAGCGUUGUUCGGAAUUACUGGGCGUAAAGGGCGGGCAGGCGGUCCGUUAAGUCGUUUGUGAAAAUCCGGGGCUCAACCCCGCGAAAUGCAGACGAUACUGGCGGACUAGAGACCGGUAGAGGCUAGCGGAAUUCCUGGUGUAGCGGUGGAAUGCGUAGAUAUCAGGAAGAACACCUGUGGCGAAGGCGGCUAGCUGGGCCGGGUCUGACGCUGAACCGCGAAAGCGUGGGGAGCAAACAGGAUUAGAUA